AGAGUUUGAUCAUGGCUCAGAUUGAACGCUGGCGGAAUGCUUUACACAUGCAAGUCGAACGAUGAACCUUAGCUUGCUAAGGGGAUUAGUGGCGAACGGGUGAGUAAUAUAUCGGAACGUGCCUUGUAAUGGGGGAUAACUAGUCGAAAGAUUAGCUAAUACCGCAUACGCCCUGAGGGGGAAAGUAGGGGAUCUUCGGACCUUACGUUAUAAGAGCGGCCGAUAUCUGAUUAGCUAGUUGGUGGGGUAAUGGCCUACCAAGGCUUCGAUCAGUAGCUGGUCUGAGAGGACGACCAGCCACACUGGAACUGAGACACGGUCCAGACUCCUACGGGAGGCAGCAGUGGGGAAUUUUGGACAAUGGGCGCAAGCCUGAUCCAGCCAUUCCGCGUGAGUGAAGAAGGCCUUCGGGUUGUAAAGCUCUUUCGCAAGGGAAGAAAACUUACACAAUAACACUGUGUGAGGCUGACGGUACCUUGAUAAGAAGCACCGGCUAACUACGUGCCAGCAGCCGCGGUAAUACGUAGGGGGCGAGCGUUAAUCGGAAUUACUGGGCGUAAAGCGUGCGCAGGCGGUUUGGCAAGUCAGAUGUGAAAUCCCCGAGCUCAACUUGGGAACUGCGUUUGAAACUGCCAGACUAGAAUAUGUCAGAGGGGGGUAGAAUUCCACGUGUAGCAGUGAAAUGCGUAGAGAUGUGGAGGAAUACCAAUGGCGAAGGCAGCCCCCUGGGAUAAUAUUGACGCCCAUGCACGAAAGCGUGGGGAGCAAACAGGAUUAGAUACCCUGGUAGUCCACGCCCUAAACGAUGUCUACUAGUUGUUGGUGGAGUAAAAUCCAUGAGUAACGCAGCUAACGCGUGAAGUAGACCGCCUGGGGGAGUACGGUCGCAAGAUAAACUCAAAGGAAUUGACGGGGGCCGCACAAGCGGGGAUUAUGUGGAUUAAUUCGAUGCACGCGAAAACCUUAUCUGGGCCUGUCAUGCCACUUAACAAGCAAAAAUGCAUUAUGUGGCCGCAAAGGGAAAUAGAGAACAAGGGCUGCCUGGUGGUGUUCACUCCUGUUCU
rnacentral:rRNA from 1 species